rnacentral:piRNA from 1 species
UAUCACUUGGACGUGCUCCAGCGAUAC